GGCUCGGUAGUUCAGUUGGUUAGAAUGCCAGCCUGUCACGCUGGAGGUCGAGGGUUCGAGUCCCUUCCGAGUCGCCA
rnacentral:tRNA from 1 species